GACGAACGCUGGCGGCGUGCCUAAUACAUGCAAGUCGAACGCUGACGGAGGAGCUUGCUCUUCUGGCUGAGUUGCGAACGGGUGCGUAACGCGUAGGCAACCUGCCUGGUAGUGGCGGAUAACUAUUGGAAACGAUAGCUACUACCGCAUAACAUAAGAUGUUGCAUGACAUUUACUUAAAAGUUGCAAUUGCAUCACUACCAGAUGGCCCUGCGUUGUUUUCGCUAGUUGGUGGGGUAACGGCUCACCAAGGCGACGAUACAUAGGCGACCUGAGAGGGGGAUCGGCCACACUGGGACUGAGACACGGCCCAGACUCCUACGGGAGGCAGCAGUAGGGAAUCAUCGGCAAUGGACGGAAGUCUGACCGAGCAACGCCGCGUGAGUGAAGAAGGGUUUCGGAUCGUAAAGCUCUGUUGUAAGAGAAGAACGAGUGUGAGAGUGGAAAGUUCACACUGUGACGGUAUCUUACCAGAAAGGGACGGCUAACUACGUG
rnacentral:rRNA from 1 species